UGGCUUAUUGGAGAGACAACGCAAACCGGUUCAAAGAAUUGUCUGCUAUGGCCUGUGAUGUCUUGAGCAUCCCCAUUACAACAGUAGCUGCAGAAUCUUCAUUUAGCAUAGGAAGCCGAGUCUUAAAUAAGUACAGGAGUUCACUUCUUCCUUCAAAUGUGCAAGCACUGAUUUGCGCAAGGAAUUGGCUACGUGACUUUGAAGAAAUUAGUGUUCCAGUUGAGUUCCUUGAUGAAGACAAAGGUGUGAAGGAAGGAGAAGAAGAAGUUUAAGACAUUUGUGAAGGAAGUAGAAGAAGAAGUUCACAUUUGAAUACUUUAUUGCUAUGAUUUGCUUUUGGAUUUGAUACUUUGUUGCUUUGAUUUGCUUUUGUAUGUGAUACUUUGUUGUUUAUUUGGAUAUUUGUCUUAAACUUUUGGAUUGAAUUUGAGAUUUUUGCAGAUUUUGGCGUUUUUCAUAAUUUGUUCUUGUGGUGACCAAUGGACACCAAUGGACAGCCCAUUAAAACAUGGGCUAUAAUGGGCAUGGGCUAUAAUGGACAUGGACAUUAUUUGUCCAUAACUAAAAUGGUCAAUAUUGGACCGGGCUAAUGGACGUGGACAGCCCAUUUUGACAGCUCUA